rnacentral:rRNA from 1 species
UACGAAGGGGGCUAGCGUUGCUCGGAAUUACUGGGCGUAAAGCGCACGUAGGCGGCUUUCUAAGUCGGGGGUGAAAUCCUGGAGCUCAACUCCAGAACUGCCUUCGAUACUGGAGAGCUUGAGUCCGGGAGAGGUGAGUGGAACUGCGAGUGUAGAGGUGAAAUUCGUAGAUAUUCGCAAGAACACCAGUGGCGAAAGGCG